rfam:Serratia odorifera DSM 4582 genomic scaffold SCAFFOLD6, whole genome shotgun sequence.
GGUUAAGUGACUAAGCGUACACGGUGGAUGCCUAGGCAGUCAGAGGCGAUGAAGGGCGUGCUAAUCUGCGAUAAGCGUCGGUAAGGUGAUAUGAACCGUAAUAACCGGCGAUACCCGAAUGGGGAAACCCAGUGUGUUUCGACACACUAUCAUGUCAUGAAUACAUAGUGGCAUGAGGCGAACCGGGGGAACUGAAACAUCUAAGUACCCCGAGGAAAAGAAAUCAACCGAGAUUCCCCCAGUAGCGGCGAGCGAACGGGGAGGAGCCCAGAACCUGAAUCAGUUCUUGUGUUAGUGGAAGCGUCUGGAAAGUCGCGCAGUAAAGGGUGAUAGCCCCGUACACUAAAAUGCAUUAAUUGUGAGUUCGAUGAGUAGGGCGGGACACGUGACAUCCUGUCUGAAUAUGGGGGGACCAUCCUCCAAGGCUAAAUACUCCUGACUGACCGAUAGUGAACCAGUACCGUGAGGGAAAGGCGAAAAGAACCCCGGCGAGGGGAGUGAAAUAGAACCUGAAACCGUGUACGUACAAGCAGUGGGAGCACCUUCGUGGUGUGACUGCGUACCUUUUGUAUAAUGGGUCAGCGACUUAUAUUUUGUAGCAAGGUUAACCGAAUAGGGGAGCCGUAGGGAAACCGAGUCUUAACUGGGCGUCUAGUUGCAAGGUAUAGACCCGAAACCCGGUGAUCUAGCCAUGGGCAGGUUGAAGGUUGGGUAACACUAACUGGAGGACCGAACCGACUAAUGUUGAAAAAUUAGCGGAUGACUUGUGGCUGGGGGUGAAAGGCCAAUCAAACCGGGAGAUAGCUGGUUCUCCCCGAAAGCUAUUUAGGUAGCGCCUCGUGAACUCAUCUUCGGGGGUAGAGCACUGUUUCGGCUAGGGGGCCAUCCCGGCUUACCAAACCGAUGCAAACUCCGAAUACCGAAGAAUGUUAUCACGGGAGACACACGGCGGGUGCUAACGUCCGUCGUGAAGAGGGAAACAACCCAGACCGCCAGCUAAGGUCCCAAAGUCAUGGUUAAGUGGGAAACGAUGUGGGAAGGCACAGACAGCCAGGAUGUUGGCUUAGAAGCAGCCAUCAUUUAAAGAAAGCGUAAUAGCUCACUGGUCGAGUCGGCCUGCGCGGAAGAUGUAACGGGGCUAAACCAUGCACCGAAGCUGCGGCAGCGACGCUUAGGCGUUGUUGGGUAGGGGAGCGUUCUGUAAGCCUGUGAAGGUGUGCUGUGAGGCAUGCUGGAGGUAUCAGAAGUGCGAAUGCUGACAUAAGUAACGAUAAAGCGGGUGAAAAGCCCGCUCGCCGGAAGACCAAGGGUUCCUGUCCAACGUUAAUCGGGGCAGGGUGAGUCGACCCCUAAGGCGAGGCUGAAAAGCGUAGUCGAUGGGAAACAGGUUAAUAUUCCUGUACUUGGUGUUACUGCGAAGGGGGGACGGAGAAGGCUAGGCUAGCCGGGCGACGGUUGUCCCGGUUUAAGCGUGUAGGAGGGUGUUCCUGGUAAAUCCGGAACUGCCGUUAACUCUGAGGCGUGAUGACGAUGCACUACGGUGCAGAAGUAGUUGAUGCCAAGCUUCCAGGAAAAGCCUCUAAGCAUCAGGUAACACGAAAUCGUACCCCAAACCGACACAGGUGGUCAGGUAGAGAAUACCAAGGCGCUUGAGAGAACUCGGGUGAAGGAACUAGGCAAAAUGGUGCCGUAACUUCGGGAGAAGGCACGCUGGCGCGUAGGUGAAGUCCCUUGCGGAUGGAGCUGAAGCCAGUCGCAGAUACCAGCUGGCUGCAACUGUUUAAUAAAAACACAGCACUGUGCAAACACGAAAGUGGACGUAUACGGUGUGACGCCUGCCCGGUGCCGGAAGGUUAAUUGAUGGGGUCAGCCGCAAGGCGAAGCUCUUGAUCGAAGCCCCGGUAAACGGCGGCCGUAACUAUAACGGUCCUAAGGUAGCGAAAUUCCUUGUCGGGUAAGUUCCGACCUGCACGAAUGGCGUAAUGAUGGCCAGGCUGUCUCCACCCGAGACUCAGUGAAAUUGAACUCGCUGUGAAGAUGCAGUGUACCCGCGGCAAGACGGAAAGACCCCGUGAACCUUUACUAUAGCUUGACACUGAACAUUGAGCCUUGAUGUGUAGGAUAGGUGGGAGGCUUUGAAGCGUGGACGCCAGUCUGCGUGGAGCCAACCUUGAAAUACCACCCUUUAAUGUUUGAUGUUCUAACUCGGCCCCGUAAUCCGGGGUGAGGACAGUGUCUGGUGGGUAGUUUGACUGGGGCGGUCUCCUCCCAAAGAGUAACGGAGGAGCACGAAGGUUAGCUAAUCACGGUCGGACAUCGUGAGGUUAGUGCAAAGGCAUAAGCUAGCUUGACUGCGAGAGUGACGGCUCGAGCAGGUGCGAAAGCAGGUCUUAGUGAUCCGGUGGUUCUGAAUGGAAGGGCCAUCGCUCAACGGAUAAAAGGUACUCCGGGGAUAACAGGCUGAUACCGCCCAAGAGUUCAUAUCGACGGCGGUGUUUGGCACCUCGAUGUCGGCUCAUCACAUCCUGGGGCUGAAGUAGGUCCCAAGGGUAUGGCUGUUCGCCAUUUAAAGUGGUACGCGAGCUGGGUUUAGAACGUCGUGAGACAGUUCGGUCCCUAUCUGCCGUGGGCGUUGGAAGAUUGAGAGGGGUUGCUCCUAGUACGAGAGGACCGGAGUGAACGCACCACUGGUGUUCGGGUUGUCAUGCCAAUGGCACUGCCCGGUAGCUAAGUGCGGAAAAGAUAAGCGCUGAAAGCAUCUAAGCGCGAAACUUGCCUCGAGAUGAGUCUUCCCUGGGCCUUUAAGGCCCCUGAAGGAACGUUUAAGACUAAGACGUUGAUAGGCUGGGUGUGUAAGUGCAGCGAUGCAUUGAGCUAACCAGUACUAAUGAUCCGUGAGGCUUAACCUU